UUUUAUGGAGAGUUUGAUCCUGGCUCAGGAUGAACGCUGGCGGCGUGCCUAAUACAUGCAAGUCGAGCGAACAGACGAGGAGCUUGCUCCUCUGACGUUAGCGGCGGACGGGUGAGUAACACGUGGAUAACCUACCUAUAAGACUGGGAUAACUUCGGGAAACCGGAGCUAAUACCGGAUAAUAUAUUGAACCGCAUGGUUCAAUAGUGAAAGACGGUUUUGCUGUCACUUAUAGAUGGAUCCGCGCCGCAUUAGCUAGUUGGUAAGGUAACGGCUUACCAAGGCAACGAUGCGUAGCCGACCUGAGAGGGUGAUCGGCCACACUGGAACUGAGACACGGUCCAGACUCCUACGGGAGGCAGCAGUAGGGAAUCUUCCGCAAUGGGCGAAAGCCUGACGGAGCAACGCCGCGGGAGUGAUGAAGGUC
rnacentral:rRNA from 1 species